rnacentral:rRNA from 1 species
UGGGUGAUCUGCCCUGCACUUCGGGAUAAGCCUGGGAAACUGGGUCUAAUACCGGAUAUACCUCAUUGAUCUCCUGGUUGGUGGGGGAAAGCUUUUGCGGUGUGGGAUGGGCCCGCGGCCUAUCAGCUUGUUGGUGAGGUUACGGCUCACCAAGGCGUCGACGGGUAGCCGGCCUGAGAGGGUAUCCGGCCACACUGGGACUGAGACACGGCCCAGACUCCUACGGGAGGCAG